AUUGAACGCUGGCGGCAUGCCUUACACAUGCAAGUCGAACGGCAGCACGGGAGCAAUCCUGGUGGCGAGUGGCGAACGGGUGAGUAAUAUAUCGGAACGUGCCCAGUAGUGGGGGAUAACUGCUCGAAAGAGCAGCUAAUACCGCAUACGACCUGAGGGUGAAAGGGGGGGAUCGCAAGACCUCUCGCUAUUGGAGCGGCCGAUAUCAGAUUAGCUAGUUGGUGGGGUAAGGGCCUACCAAGGCAACGAUCUGUAGUUGGUCUGAGAGGACGACAAGCCACACUGGGACUGAGACACGGCCCAGACGCCUACGGGAGGCAGCAGUGGGGAAUUUUGGACAAUGGGCGCAAGCCUGAUCCAGCAAUGCCGCGUGCAGGAAGAAGGCCUUCGGGUUGUAAACUGCUUUUGUCAGGGAAGAAAUCCUCUAGGUUAAUACCCUUGGGGGGAUGACGGUACCUGAAGAAUAAGCACCGGCUAACUACGUGCCAGCCGCCGCAGUAACAC
rnacentral:rRNA from 1 species